GUUGAACGCUGGCGGCAUGCCUAAUACAUGCAAGUCGAGCGAACAGAUAAGGCGCUUUCUCCUUUCACUUUCGCGUCGCACGGGUGAGUAUCACGUCGGUAACCUUCCUUUAUGACUGGGAUUACUUCGUGAAACCGGUACUUAUUCCGGCUUACCUUUGCAACCGCAUGGUUCUGGAGUUUAGGGUGUUUUUCCUUUCGCUUUUCUCUGAUCCCACUCUGUAUUAGCUAGUAGGUAGGGUAACGGCUUACCCAGGCGACGAUUCGUAGCUGACCUGAGAGGAUGACCGGCCACACUGGAACUGAGACACGGUCCAGACUCCUACGGGAGGCAGCAGUAGGGAAUCUUCCGCAAUGGGCGAAAGCCUGACGGAGCAAAGCCGCGUGAGUGAUGAAGGGCUUCGGCUCGUAAAACUCUGUUAGCAGGGAAGAAGAAAGGAGAAAGUAAAUGUGCACGUAUUGACGGUACCUAAUCAGAAAGCCACGGCUAACUCCGUG
rnacentral:rRNA from 1 species